GACGAACGCUGGCGGCGUGCUUAACACAUGCAAGUCGAACGGUGAAGCGCCUUCCUUUUUGGUGGGUGUGGAUGAGUGGCGAACGGGUGAGUAACACGUGAGUAACCUGCCCCCUUCUUCUGGAUAACCGCAUGAAAGUGUGGCUAAUACUGGAUAUUCUGGGUCUGUCGCAUGAUGGGUCUGGGAAAGAUAUUGUUUCGGUGGGGGAUGGGCUCGCGGCCUAUCAGCUUGUUGGUGGGGUGAUGGCCUACCAAGGCGGUGACGGGUAGCCGGCCUGAGAGGGUGGACGGUCACACUGGGACUGAGACACGGCCCAGACUCCUACGAGAGGCAGCAGUGGGGAAUAUUGCACAAUGGGCGCAAGCCUGAUGCAGCGACGCCGCGUGAGGGAUGGAGGCCUUCGGGUUGUGAACCUCUUUCGCCAGUGAAGCAGGCCUGCCUCGUUUGUGGGUGGGUUGACGGUAGCUGGAUAAGAAGCGCCGGCUAACUACGUG
rnacentral:rRNA from 1 species